rnacentral:RNase_P_RNA from 1 species
GGAGCCGGCCGGGUGAUCGCGGCUCGGACUACGAGUCGAGGAAAGUCCGGACUCCCAAGGGCAGGACGCUGGGGAAAUCCCAGGCGGGGCGACCCGCGGAAAGUGCCACAGAAACAAACCGCCUCCGACCUCGGUCGGCGGUAAGGGUGAAAAGGUGAGGUAAGAGCUCACCAGCGCCUCGGGUGACCGGGGCGGCUAGGCAAACCCCGUUCGGAGCAAGGCCACGCAGGAGGUUGGGCUGCCCGCCCGCUUCGGCGAUCGGCAUGCCGGUCGAAGCACCUCCGGGUAGGCCGCUACAGGUGGACGGAAACGUCCGUCGCAGAUAGAUGGUCACCGCCGUCUUCGGACGGUACAGAAUCCGGCUUACAGGCCGGCUCCACAC